AGUGAACGCUGGCGGCAGGCCUAACACAUGCAAGUCGAACGGCAGCACAGUAAGAGCUUGCUCUUACGGGUGGCGAGUGGCGGACGGGUGAGGAAUACAUCGGAAUCUACUUUUUCGUGGGGGAUAACGUAGGGAAAGUUACGCUAAUACCGCAUACGACCUACGGGUGAAAGCAGGGGAUCUUCGGACCUUGCGCGACUGAAUGAGCCGAUGUCGGAUUAGCUAGUUGGCGGGGUAAAGGCACACCAAGGCGACGAUCCGUAGCUGGUCGGAGAGGAUGAUCAGCCACACUGGAACGGAGGCACGGUCCAGACUCCUACGGGAGGCAGCAGUGGGGAAUAUUGGACAAUGGGCGCAAGCCUGAUCCAGCCAUACCGCGUGGGUGAAGAAGGCCUUCGGGUUGUAAAGCCCUUUUGUUGGGAGAGAAAAGCAGCAGGUUAAUACCCCGCUGUUCUGACGGUACCCAAAGAAUAAGCACCGGCUAACUUCGUG
rnacentral:rRNA from 1 species